ACGACCUCAGGUCAGACGAGACGACCCGCCGAAUUUAAGCAUAUUACUAAGCGGAGGAAAAGGAUCUAACCAGGAUUCCCCCAGUAGCGGCGAGUGAAGAGGGAAGAGC
rnacentral:rRNA from 1 species